GACGAACGCUGGCGGCGUGCUUAACACAUGCAAGUCGAACGGAAAGGCCUCUUUCGGGGGGUACUCGAGUGGCGAACGGGUGAGUAACACGUGAGUAACCUGCCCUUUACUUUGGGAUAACUUCAGGAAACUGGGGCUAAUACCGGAUAGGAGCUCCUGCUGCAUGGUGGGGGUUGGAAAGUUUCGGCGGUUGGGGAUGGACUCGCGGCUUAUCAGCUUGUUGGUGGGGUAGUGGCUUACCAAGGCUUUGACGGGUAGCCGGCCUGAGAGGGUGACCGGCCACAUUGGGACUGAGAUACGGCCCAGACUCCUACGGGAGGCAGCAGUGGGGAAUAUUGCACAAUGGGUGGAAGCCUGAUGCAGCAACGCCGUGUGCGGGAUGACGGCCUUCGGGUUGUAAACCGCUUUCGCUCAUGACGAAGCUUUGUGUGACGGUAGUGGGUAAAGAAGCACCGGCUAACUACGUG
rnacentral:rRNA from 1 species